rfam:Medicago truncatula strain A17 chromosome 3, whole genome shotgun sequence.
AAACAACCACUUAUGUAUUGGAUCUUUGACAAUUUUGGCCCCCAAUGCCACUUUUGAUUAGUCUUCGCUGACGUGGUACCCACAAUGGUGGACACGUGGCACCUUGCUUAAGGGAUAUGGGUGCCACGUCAGCGAAGACUAAAUCAAAAGUGGCCUUGGGGGCCAAAACUGCCAAAGAUCCAAUACAUAGGGGACUGUUU